rnacentral:misc_RNA from 1 species
AUCCCACGCACUCUCUUUUCCACUCUCUGUGAAAACCCACUUAUUUUUGCGCUUCUUUUCUUGGAGAGGCCUUCAUACUCCAAAUUCACGCUUUCUCUUUCUAUCCCAAGUUGGGUCCUUACUAUAACCUCCUCUCUUUCUAGCAAUCCAUGAAGCAGUUGAUCCGCCGCCUCUCACGAGUCGCCGACUCCUCUCAGUACAGCCUUCUGCGUUCUGACUCGCAAUCCCGCAGAUGUUCAGCGGCCUCGAGAUCGACGCACCGAGCGGAGUCUUUUCGUUGCUUAGUUAAGCCGGCCAGGAGAGCUGGUGGAGGCAAGUCAUCGGUGCCUGAAGGUCAUGUGCCUGUGUACGUCGGAGACGAGAUGGAGCGGUUUGUGGUGAGCGCGGAGCUACUUAACCACCCGAUCUUCAUCGGACUUCUUAACAAGUCUGCUCAGGAAUAUGGCUACGACCAAAAA